UACAGAGGUCCCGAGCGUUGUUCGGAUUCACUGGGCGUAAAGGGUGCGUAGGCGGCUGGGUAAGUCUGAUGUGAAAUCUCCGGGCCCAACCCGGAAAUGGCAUUAGAAACUACCUGGCUGGAGGCUUGGAGGGGGAACUGGAAUACUUGGUGUAGCAGUGAAAUGCGUAGAUAUCAAGUGGAACACCGGUGGCGAAGGCGAGUUCCUGGACAAGACCUGACGCUGAGGCACGAAAGCUAGGGGAGCAAACAGG
rnacentral:rRNA from 1 species